UAAGGAAUAUUGCUCAAUGGGAGAAACCCUGAAGCAGCAACGCCGCGUGGAGGAUGAAGGGUCUAUGACUUGUAAACUCCUGUAAAGAAGGAAAAAAUUCCCAUUAGAUGGGAGGUGAUGGUACUUCUGGAGUAAGCCCCGGCUAACUACGUGCCAGCAGCCGCGGUAAUACGUAGGGGGCAAGCGUUGUCCGGAUUUACUGGGUGUAAAGGGUGCUCAGGCGGAUUUGUAAGUCAGAGGUGAAAUCUUACAGCUUAACUGUGAAACUGCCUUUGAUACUGCAAGCCUAGAGUAUGGAAGAGAGUGAUGGAAUAUCUGGUGUAGCAGUGAAAUGCGUAGAUAUCAGAUAGAACACCAAUGGCGAAGGCAGUCACUUGGUCCAUUACUGACGCUAAAGCACGAAAGCGUGGGUAGCAAACA
rnacentral:rRNA from 1 species